GAUGAACGCUGACAGAAUGCUUAACACAUGCAAGUCAACUGUGGCGGACGGGUGAGUAACGCGUAAAGAACUUGCCUCACAGAUAGGGACUACAUUUGGAAACGAAUGCUAAUCCCUGAAACUGUGAGAGAGCUUUGCGUCCCAUUAGCUAGGUGGAGAGGUACCGGCUCACCAAGGCGAUGAUGGGUAGCCGGCCUGAGAGGGUGAUCGGCCACAAGGGGACUCAGAAACGGCCCGUGCUCCUACGGGAGGCAGCAGUGGGGAAUAUUGGACGAUAGGCCAAUGUCUGAUCCAGCAAUUCUGUGUGCACAAUGAAGUUUUCGGAAGGUAAAGGGCUUUCAGUUAGGAAGCGGUACCAACAGAAGAAGUGACGGCUAACUACGUGCCAGCAGCCGCGGUAAUAC
rnacentral:rRNA from 1 species